rnacentral:tRNA from 1 species
GUUUUGGUGGCUGAGUGGUAAAGCACUUGGCUUUCGAACCAAAAGGUCUCCGGUUCAAAUCAUAGUGAAGACU